GAUGAACGCUGGCGGCGUGCUUAACACAUGCAAGUCGAACGAAGAUUUUGGGAGAGCUUGCUCAAAGAAAUCUUAGUGGCGGACGGGUGAGUAACGUGUGGGCAACCUGCCUUUUACUGGGGAAUAAUCACUGGAAACGGUGGACUAAUACCGCAUGUCAUCACGGGAGGGCAUCCUCGUGUGAGAAAAGGAUUUAUUCGGUAAAAGAUGGGCCCGCAUCUGAUUAGGUAGUUGGUGAGAUAAUAGCCCACCAAGCCGACGAUCAGUAGCCGACCUGAGAGGGUGAUCGGCCACAUUGGGACUGAGACACGGCCCAGACUCCUACGGGAGGCAGCAGUAGGGAAUAUUGCACAAUGGGCGCAAGCCUGAUGCAGCAACGCCGCGUGAGGGAAGACGGUUUUCGGAUUGUAAACCUCUGUCUUUGGUGAAGAUAAUGACGGUAGCCAAGGAGGAAGCCACGGCUAACUACGUG
rnacentral:rRNA from 1 species